rfam:Ictidomys tridecemlineatus contig099288, whole genome shotgun sequence.
GGGGUUGUGGCUCAGUGGUAGAGCACUUGACUUGCAUUUGUGAGGCACUGGGUUCAAUUCUCAGAACCACA